rnacentral:rRNA from 1 species
UUGGAGGGCAAGUCUGGUGCCAGCAGCCGCGGUAAUUCCAGCUCCAAUAGCGUAUAUUAAAGUUGUUGCAGUUAAAAAGCUCGUAGUUGAACUUCGGGGUUCACCCAUUGGUCAGGCUUAAUUGUCUGUACUGGUGAGAUGAAUCUCUACCUUCUGAGGAACUUUCAUGCCAUUUAUUUGGUGUGAUGGGAAAUCAGGAUUGUUACUUUGAAAAAAUUAGAGUGUUUAAAGCAGGCUAACGUCUGAAUACAUUAGCAUGGAAUAAUGAAAUAGGACGGAUUGAUUCUAUUUCGUUGGUUUCUAGGAUCACCGUAAUGAUUAAUAGGGAUAGUUGGGGGCAUUAGUAUUCAAUUGUCAGAGGUGAAAUUCUUGGAUUUAUUGAAGACUAACUACUGCGAAAGCAUUCGCCAAGGAUGUUUUCAUUAAUCAAGAACGAAAGUUAGGGGAUCGAAGACGAUCAGAUACCGUCGUAGUCUUAACCAUAAACUAUGCCGACUAGGGAUCGGACGAAGUUAAUUUUAUAAUGACGCGUUCGGCACCUUACGGGAAA